UGGAUACUGCAGAGUUUAAGAAGUGAUGUGGAGGAACAUGACUCUAAUGCAGGAGGUGAAAGGUCUCAUCAUUGAGAAAGCGUGAAGAUGAAAAUGUUUUAUUGUACUUCUGGGAAAGGAAUGUCUGCAAAGAAAUGAAAAGAGCCAUGAGGAAUUCUAAGUGUAAUAUUCAAAAACAAUAAUACACAUUGUGGACUGGAGCCUGGAUGAAGCCAUUUCUGCAUAGUGAAAAGUGCCUGUCUGGUAACCUGAAAAGUUAAAAAGAAUACAGAUAUUUUUUUUAACAUGGCAGGAUGUUUUGGUCCAGCUGGAACAAACAAAUUCGGAGAGGGACUGAAAAAAGAAAAAGUGUACAUUAUUAGUAUGCCAAAAUCACACUAACAGAGAGCCAGGCCAAAAUCUGUACCAGGAAAUAACAUCUUUAUCUGACUUCUUGGGUUUUGAAGACUUACCUAGGCAGACGUUUCACCACGGAGCAGAAUCACUAUGAUGCCAUCGG